rnacentral:lncRNA from 1 species
UCUCAUGUAGGAAUCCUUCUUUCAUAAGUAUUAGACUAAUUCCAAUCAGAUUUGAGUUAGGACUUCUAUACUUAUUAGGGCAUGAAAUUCAUCUAUAAAUAGAGGUCUCUAUCUAUGGAUGUAUAGCAAACAAAUCAGAUUGAGAGAAGAGAGGAAGAGAGAGAGAGAGAGAGGUGUGAGAAGAGAAGAGCCUUCUUCUUCCCUUAGUCUCUUCCCUUUUGGUGCCGCUCCUCUUCCCUUGGGUGUGGAUCCUUUUUGGGCAUCCCAUCUGCUAGUGUAAGGUAUCACACCAGCACAUCUUCUUCCUUAUUUGAUUGGGUUGCGAAGGUGAUUAGAUUGGAGUUCAUCCUACUUUUCUGCGACGUCUAACGUGCAUGCGAAGUAGAGGGUCUGCACAUCUAGGCCUUCGUAAAGCUUUAUAUCAGAUUGUUUGAGAUUUGAUCUCUAGUUCCACUGCUUAUCAGAUAAGGAUUUGAUCUUUAUUCAUGUAGAUGAAUAGAAAAAUUUUUAGAUGCAAUCUGGGCCUUCCGAAGAGAAACUAUUUUCCUUCCCUUCAUAGAGAUCAUUGUAUAUCUCACUACCAGAUAGAAUUAAAACUAUGGAGUCACACAACAAAGAGAUUAGGUCUAGAAUUA